rnacentral:pre_miRNA from 1 species
AGGAGGAACAACUGCAGUGGCGGGGCCAGCUGUGGAGACCUGGAGUCAUUUCCUGCAGUAGCUCCAGAGCUCUCCGUCUGCAGGGCCUGGAGGCUCCGGGGCGGG